GACGAACGCUGGCGGCGUGCUUAACACAUGCAAGUCGAACGGAAAGGCCCUGCUUGCAGGGUACUCGAGUGGCGAACGGGUGAGUAACACGUGGGUGAUCUGCCCUGCACUUCGGGAUAAGCCUGGGAAACUGGGUCUAAUACCGGAUAGGAGCCAUUUUUAGUGUGAUGGUUGGAAAGUUUUUUCGGUGUAGGAUGAGCUCGCGGCCUAUCAGCUUGUUGGUGGGGUAAUGGCCUACCAAGGCGGCGACGGGUAGCCGGCCUGAGAGGGUGGACGGCCACAUUGGGACUGAGAUACGGCCCAGACUCCUACGGGAGGCAGCAGUGGGGAAUAUUGCACAAUGGGCGCAAGCCUGAUGCAGCGACGCCGCGUGGGGGAUGACGGCCUUCGGGUUGUAAACUCCUUUCGCUAGGGACGAAGCUUUUGUGACGGUACCUAGUUAAGAAGCACCGGCUAACUACGUG
rnacentral:rRNA from 1 species